rnacentral:rRNA from 1 species
UACGGGGGGGGCAAGCGUUGUUCGGAAUUACUGGGCGUAAAGGGCUCGUAGGCGGCCAACUAAGUCAGACGUGAAAUCCCUCGGCUUAACCGGGGAACUGCGUCUGAUACUGGAUGGCUUGAAUCCGGGAGAGGGAUGCGGAAUUCCAGGUGUAGCGGUGAAAUGCGUAGAUAUGGGGAGGAACACCGGUGGCGAAGGCGGCCAUCUGGACGGAUACUGACGCUGAGACGCGAAAGCGUGGGGAGCAAACAGG